rnacentral:sRNA from 1 species
ACCGACUAGUGUCUUUGAUUGAUC